ensembl:snRNA U6 U6 spliceosomal RNA
GUGCUUGCUUUGGCAGCACUAAUAUUAAAACUGGAAUGACAGAGAGAUUAGCAUGGCCCUCGUUUGUGUAAGGAUGGCCUUCAAGUACAUUCUGUAUUUGAAAAAAUUU